UACGAAGGGGGCUAGCGUUGUUCGGAAUUACUGGGCGUAAAGCGCACGUAGGCGGAUUUGUAAGUCAGGGGUGAAAUCCCGGGGCUCAACCUCGGAACUGCCUUUGAUACUGCAAGUCUUGAGUCCGAUAGAGGUGAGUGGAAUUCCUAGUGUAGAGGUGAAAUUCGUAGAUAUUAGGAAGACACCAGUGGCGAAGGCGGCUCACUGGAUCGGUACUGACGCUGAGGUGCGAAAGCGUGGGGAGCA
rnacentral:rRNA from 1 species